rnacentral:rRNA from 1 species
UACGGAGGGUGCAAGCGUUAUCCGGAUUCACUGGGUUUAAAGGGUGCGUAGGCGGGCAGGUAAGUCCGUGGUGAAAUCUCUGAGCUUAACUCAGAAACUGCCAUGGAUACUAUUUGUCUUGAAUAUUGUUGGAGGUAAGCGGAAUAUGUCAUGUAGCGGUGAAAUGCUUAGAUAUGAACAUAGAACACCAAUUGCGAAGGCAGCUUACUACACAGUUAUUGACGCUGAGGCACGAAAGCGUGGGGAUCAAACAGG